UGUGAAGUUCUAGCCACAGAAAGGACCACAAUCUGAGCCUUCUCCAACCUUGGCUCGGCUCUGGCUGCAGAUGUGUCCAGCUAAUGUUCAGGAGGAACCCACAUGUGAGAGAGGCAGCCCAGUGCCCAUCCUGGCCAUCAGCGCUAGCCGUGACCUCUCAUGGGCAGUGCUUCCCCUCGCGCUCAGGCGCCACCUCUCCCAUUUUGGAAACCUGGUCCGAAUGGCACCAUCCACCGGACAUUCCCCAAAUCAAGAUCAAAAGGGCCGGCUUGCAAGUGAACUCACCUGGAGCAGACAUGGAGCCUCCCUUGUGCCUUCCCCUUGCUCAGGUGGAAUAUCUAGAGCCCCACGAGGCCGAAACAGAUGGUGAGGGCCACAGCAGUCCGGAAGGCUUUCAUGGCUUUUGCUUGGGCAUUGGAAUCCCCCAAAUGGCCAGGAUGUCUUUGCUAUGCUCCGCAGGGAGCUGGCAAGUGACUGACACUGCUGAGCUUUCCUCCUCCUAG
rnacentral:lncRNA from 1 species